rnacentral:lncRNA from 1 species
CUCUUGUGCAUCUUCAAGGCUGGAUGCCCGGACCACCUGCCCCCAAGCCCGGCCUUGCCCUGCCUCCUUCCCCGGGCUCUGUCGCCGCGCACUCGCCCUUCCUGAGUCCUGCACUCCUCGUCGGCGCCCCGCGGCCGUCGAUCCCGAGCCCUCGCUUCCCUGCUUGGCCGUCCCACUUCCGCCUCGGGCCUCGGGCGCCGCCGCACCGGAGCGCGGCCACUGGGCUCGCCGGGUCUGCCGAGCCGAAACUACAACUCCCGGCAGAUUUCUCAAGGGGAAGAUAAAAUGACUAAGAGGAAGAAGCUGCGGACCUCAGCUCCCCUGAUGAGGAAACAGGAUCUCCCUGCCGGCUCCUCCGUC